UACGAAGGGGGCUAGCGUUGCUCGGAAUCACUGGGCGUAAAGCGCACGUAGGCGGACUCUUAAGUCGGUGGUGAAAUCCUGGAGCUCAACUCCAGAACUGCCUUCGAUACUGAGAGUCUCGAGUCCGAGAGAGGUGAGUGGAACUGCGAGUGUAGAGGUGAAAUUCGUAGAUAUUCGCAAGAACACCAGUGGCGAAGGCGGCUCACUGGCUCGGUACUGACGCUGAGGCGCGAAAGCCAGGGGAGCAAACGGG
rnacentral:rRNA from 1 species